GACGAACGCUGGCGGCGUGCUUAACACAUGCAAGUCGAACGGCAAGGCCCUGCUUUUGUGGGGUGCUCGAGUGGCGAACGGGUGAGUAACACGUGAGUAACCUGCCCUUGACUUUGGGAUAACUUCAGGAAACUGGGGCUACUACCGGAUCGGAGCUCCUGCUGCAUGGUAAGGGUUGGAAAGUUUCAGCGGUUGGGGAUGGACUCGCGGGUUAUCGGCUUGUUGGUGGGGUAGUGGCUUACCAACGCUUUGACCGGUAGCCGGCCGGAGAGGGUGACCGGCCACAUUGGGACUGAGAUACGGACCAGACGCCUACGGGAGGCAGCAGUGGGGAAUAUUGCACAAUGGGCGGAAGCCUGAUGCAGCAACGCCGCGGGCGGGAUGACGGCCUUCGGGUUGUAAAACGCUUUCGCCUGUGACGAAGCUUGAGUGACGGUAAUGGGUAAAUAAGCACCGGCUAACUACGUG
rnacentral:rRNA from 1 species